UACGUAGGUCCCGAGCGUUGUCCGGAUUUAUUGGGCGUAAAGCGAGCGCAGGUGGUUUAUUAAGUCUGGUGUAAAAGGCAGUGACUCAACCAUUGUAUGCAUUGGAAACUGGUAGACUUGAGUGCAGGAGAGGAGAGUGGAAUUCCAUGUGUAGCGGUGAAAUGCGUAGAUAUAUGGAGGAACACCGGUGGCGAAAGCGGCUCUCUGGCCUGUAACUGACACUGAGGCUCGAAAGCAUGGGGAGCAAACAGG
rnacentral:rRNA from 1 species